rnacentral:lncRNA from 1 species
GUUCAUUCUGACCCAAGCCGUUCUGUGAUUCUAUGACAUUGUUUGGCAGUGUCACGCAAGGUGUCCCUGCCACUGAAGCUCUCUGCUCCUGACCAGGCCAGCCUCUCGCUGUUGUCCUGCCUCGGCCUGCUCCCCGCAUUGAUCCUACAGCAGGAUAAGCACUGGGAAGGAGUUGGGAGUGAAUGAAUGCCUGUGUGGUGCUCAGCCACCUGAUGGGCUAAACCACAACAAUAACCUUGAGGUCAUUCUCCCAUAUGAUACCACUACAUUGACAGAUGGCAGAUGACUGUGCAUUGGCAGGAAUGGAAGGAAGUCUGGCGAAAUAGCUCACUAAUUUUAAGAGCAUGACCUCGCAGGACCAACAAAGUGAAAACAGAAGAUAGCAGCCAAAAUGUCUUCCCACGUCAAUACCUUGUAAUCAUUUUUAUUGCAUAAAACCCUCAGGUCUUUCUGGGAAUGUAAUCCAUCUGAACACAUUUCAAAUGAAUAAAUCAGAUUUCCCUGACGGCAA